CUCGCAAGAGCAAAGCAGGGGACCUUCGGGCCUUGCGCUACCGGAUAUGCCCAGGUGGGAUUAGCUAGUUGGUGAGGUAAGGGCUCGCCAAGGCGACGAUCCCUAGCUGGUCUGAGAGGAUGAUCAGCCACACUGGAACUGAGACACGGUCCAGACUCUACGGGAGCAGCAGUGGGGAAUAUUGCACAAUGGGCGCAAGCCUGAUGCAGCCAUGCCGCGUGUAUGAAGAAGGCCUUCGG
rnacentral:rRNA from 1 species